GUUCGAAGGAUCCAUAGGACAUAUGCUUGUCAUUAUCCAUUGAGGAAAAGCUCUGAGUGAGUGUAAGGGAAAUCCACAAGGCAUAUAUCAGUCAUAGACUGGCGGAACAUUUGCCCUCACACGUCCUUUUUCAAAAUAUGGAUUUGUGUUGCUGAGUUAUGCCUGAAACCGGCCCGAGACAGAGAGGGGAUAUCAGCACUUCAUCAGCACCACAAGAAAACUUUUUUAGUUUCAUCAGUGCUGGAUACGUCAUCGUGGGAUGAUAAUGGAUGAACUGGACUCUUUACUGGUAAAUGGAAGCUGUAAUUGAAUUUCUGGAAAUAGCCCCCUGGAGAAGACCAAAUGGGUACAAAGUGGACUGACUAAAUGAAACAGGAUUUUGGUCUGGGUUUUUGAGGUGUUUAUAAAGAGAUGAGUGAUUUUUUUCCAGAUAUACUCAGAUGAACUCUCAACUACUGCCACUGUGCCAGGAUUAUGGGCCUCUUUUAAG